GCUGAAGAACGCAGCGAAAUGCGAUAAGUAAUGUGAAUUGCAGAAUUCAGUGAAUCAUCGAAUCUUUGAACGCACAUUGCGCCCGCUAGUAUUCUGGCGGGCAUGCCUGUCCGAGCGUCAUUUCAACCCUCAUGCCCCCGGGCUUGGUGUUGGGGAUCGGCGAGCCUCCGCGCCCGCCGUCCCCUAAAUCUAGUGGCGGUCUCGCUGUAGCUUCCUCUGCGUAGUAGCACACCUCGCACUGGGAAACAGCGCGGCCACGCCGUUAAACCCCCAACUUCUGAACGUUUGACCUCGGAUCAGGUAGGAAUACCCGCUGAACUUAAGCAUAUCAAUAAGCGGAGGA
rnacentral:misc_RNA from 1 species